AGCCGAGUGUUUCUGCCUCCUCUGGCCCCAGAACCAGGGGCUGGGUGUCGGAGGCGCCUUGGUGGGGGAAGUUAGGGAGGGUGGUGGGGUGCUGUCUGCGCACGGUCACCUGCUGGCCCAGGACACAGAAAGGUCGUAGAGCCUCGAGCCCGUGGCUAACGGCCCUCCGCAGGGGACUCGGAGGACAGCAGUUGGGCGGGGGCGGGCCCGCGCCCCGGAGGCCCGAGCCGCUACCCUUACCGCUCGCCCUGCGGGUGGUGAGGAUUUUCCCGCGUUUGGGGCAAGCUCCUCUGGCGUUACCUGGGCUUCCGAGCACCGAGGCAGGUGGACGGCCUCCUGGAGAGGCGGGGUGUCGUUCGUGCGCCGGCCCCGCUCGGAUGGGUCGCGGCGAGAGUUCCCGGGGAAUGCGCUCGGCUGGCGUAGAUCCGCCGAAUCACAGUGAUGAGAGGGGUCCUGAGCGCCCAAUUUUCUUAAUUGGCUCCAGGACAGGACGUUUUCGGGAGAAGAUAGCACCUCCACCAUCUGCACAAGAGUCCCCUCCCAUCACCAGCUUCGGCCAAUUGAGUCUUGGGAGCACCAGUCCCUCCAAGCCAGCGGUGAGAGGCAGCACCCCCGGGAGAAGAGAGCAAGUUGUGACCUAAGGACUGAGGACAAGGAGUUCACUCAGAUCAGGAACUUGCUGAAAGAAGACCCCACCGGUAGCUCAUGCAGACUCAGUGAAACUUUGCAGGCACCAGUGCUGGAAUACCGCUCAGAAUGUUCCAGUACCUUAGACCAGCAUCAGGGAACCUUCCAGAGGGGAAGUCAAGCAGCUUGCCCACCCAUGAGAAGAGUUUGAAGAGUUUCAAGCAGGAGAAACAAAAUCUGUGAAGGUGCCGAGAGUGAUCGAACCUGCAGGCCAGACUUCAAGCUCUUUGAAAGAAAAAGAACGCAUCUCAUCUUUAUGUUCUUCCUGGCACCUCUGAGAGACAUGGAGAGACUCAGGACGACUUGUGGACACUGCAAGUGAAGCUGAUGGAUCAUGGUUCAGGGCGGUCAUGGAUGCAGGUGCGUUUACCUUUGACUGAAGUCGGAGCCGCCUUCUCUGGGAUGACUGUUGGUUGGUCUCGUCCAUGUCAUACAGGAGGGAAGUGAUCUCACUGGGAUUACCACCUCCCCACCUGACACCGCCCCCCAGCCAGGAAGGCCAGCCUGCUUAACCCCGAUAUCCGUAAGUGGCAGAUGCUUUGUCCCCAUUGCCUCAGCUCUGCCUGAGAACUGUUGCUACCCACCAUGCAUUGUGCUAAUCCUGGGAAUGACCUUGUGGGGCGGGCAGGAAAUAAGCAAGAAAUCAGUAUUGUAGAGCUGUCCAUCAGAGUGUCCUGGGUAAGUAUGGCUGGCUUAGGGACUACCUUCGGCAUGAACUUGGAGCUCUUAAGGGCAAGGUCUGAAGCAUCUCCAUAUUCACAGUGCCUAGCUUAGCACCUAGGAGGUAUUCGUCUGGCAUGGAGUACGUGAAUUGUGUCUAUAGUCAGCAGCAACCGAGAAGUUCGUGGAGGCAAUGAGAACAGAUGUUAAUGGCUGUAGUGAAUGUCCACCUGGGCCACUCGCAUACCCAGUGAGCGCGCAUCAUCCCUUUGAUGUAUAGCAAAGUUCUGGGUCCCAAGCACAAAACACAGAAAGGGCUUCCUGCCUUUUGUUGUUGCAAAAAUCUCUGCCUCCCCUGGGGAAAGAAAAAAGAGAGUUGGGGGGGAACAUUCUGUGUAUACAUCUAAGGUCUUAUAGAGCCUUAGAGCUCUCUUCUACUUUUCUUUGUUGUUGUUAAUCCUCACCUGAGGAUAUUUUUUCUAUGGCUUUUCAGGGAGAGUGGAAGGGAGGGAAUGUGAGAGAGAGAGAAACAUCAAUGUGAGAGACACAAUGACUAGUUGCCUCCCACGCGUGCCACAACUGGGGGCGGAGAGUGAACCCGCAACCCAGGUACAUGCCCUUGACCGAGAAUGGAACCCUCGACCUUUCAGUACGUUGGCCAACGCUGUAACCACUGAGAAACACCAGCAGGGUUCUUCUACCUUUCUUUAACAGCUAGUAAGUUAGAAUGUUCUUGGUGGGAUAUCAGAGCUGCUUCCCAGUGCUGGCACUGCCUGUGAAAACUGCAUUUCCUAGGGACCCAAGGCUGCUGCUAGGCGGUGGGGCGUGGAACCUGGUGAAGCUGUGAGCCCACCACUGAGCAUUAAGAAGGGAACGAAAGGGAGUGUCCUCGCCAGCUGCCUCUGCAUCUGCUGAGCAAGGCUUACACGUUCACGGGCAGGAGGACAGCUGGUCGCUGGGUUUUGUGCUCCGGUCUUGGAAGUUUUUAAAUGGAAUAUCAUUUGCAGGGAGUCUCCAGAACACCCUCUCAGAUCACUCUUCUAAUGACGAUGCCAAGACCAAAGUGACUAAGAAAUUAUGGAAACAGGCAUAGGAGAUUAAAUGGAUAAUGAAGUGAAGGCUGUUGAAGGAGGAAGGGACUGGAGGGUCAGGUGACUGUGAGCUCCGCACGCCUAGAGAAUUGGCCAACCAGUUCCAAAGGCUUCUAGGAAUUUGCUCAAGAAACCAGAUCUACUCCCUACUCCCUACCACAGAGGACACCAGGAGACUUCCCUGUCCAGAACAGCCAGGGCAGCCUUUUCUGAUGUUCAGUGACAAGCAGACUGUUCUUGCUGGGGCUCUGACCCCACUCACUGAGUGUAUAGGCACAAUUGCAGUGACUAACACCUUUAAUGCCAGCUGUGCCAAGUGCUUCACAUGCAGUAUCUCAUUUAUUUAUUUUUAAAAAGUUAUUUAUUGGUUUGGAGAGAGAGAGAAACAAUGAUUU